rnacentral:pre_miRNA from 2 species
UAGCAGCACGUAAAUAUUGGUGUUAAGACUGUAAAUAUCUCCAGUAUUAACUGUGCUGCUGAA